CUAGAAUAAAUUGUUUUAUAAGACACUUCCAACAAUAACUUACCAUCUGUUGUCAUCUCAUGUGAGAUAGUACUUGCCGUGAAUUGUAAUAUUACCCAUGACACUAAGAGGUUUGAGUGGCCACCUUGUCAUAUUGAGGUGCGGCUGCUACAUGCUUCCAGACACACUUUCUCAGUGACGCUAUUGUUAGCAGAAGGAAGUAAUUGUCAGGUAAGCAUACAC